UAAUUAGGAAAGUACAUCUUUAUAAUAUUGUUUAUCACAUGGAAUUGAAUAUAUAUAAUACUCAGGUACCCUGAUUUUUAUCAUGGAAAAGUCACUUGUUAAUCCCAUUAAUCAUGAAAAAGUAGCAUUUUAAAUUACAAGCUUUCUAUGAGGCUCUUGAAAGUGAUCCCAUUGUUUUACUGUUUUAGAGUAAUAUUUAUGUUCUUUAAUUCCACUUCUGCCAAUGUACUAUUUCUCUUUUAUUAUGUUACUGAACAAACUUACUACAUAAAAUUCUUGGCAAUUAAAAAUUCUGGUUUUGCCAUUUUUGUCUCAAACGUAAUAUACUUUUUUAAUAUGGUUUGAAUGUAAGUUUGUAUAUUUGUGAAUGUGAUCAAUUUU
rnacentral:lncRNA from 1 species